UUAGUGAUCUGGGCCUCUGAAGAAAGAAGCAUCAUGACAGUUUUUGUGAAAGUAUUGUUUCUGUUAUUAGGUACAGGUCACAAACAAAUAGGGGACUCUGGAAUCAUUGAUCUUUUUUUUUUUUUUUUGAAUGCUUGUUAAUAAUGUGAUGACUCUCCAUAAAUUGUAACAAAUGUAUGAUCGUGUCUUUGCAUGGGCUCCUGUCAGUCUGCUCACUCAAGAAUGGAGCAAAGACAUUAUGUAGAGGCAUUUUAUUGUUUACUUGAGGUUUUAGCUAAGCAUGUUAGAAAGAUCUGAGUUAGCCAACAAUCUGAAUAUGCCUAGAGUACAUAGCUGAGGUAAGAUUUAUUUGUAAGAGGAAGUUACUAGUUUAUUAAAUCUACUGCUGGAGUUGGAAAAAAAAUACACAACAGUCUGGGCAUAUGAACCAUCCUUAGGGCACUUUGGAGGAAUUGAUAGCAGCAUUUGCUACACUGAAAGCUCAGUGGAUAUGAACUUAUGUGUGUUUGGCUCAAUUACUGUGCUCUGAGCAGUGUAAUUUAAAUAUUGUGUGUUUCCAGAAGGUUAACAUUGCUGGUACACUUCAUGCUCUUCACUGUAAAAAAGCGAGCACUUUAAAAACAGGUGACAAUCUUCCAUUUGCCACUAUGCAAUCAGCAAAACCAUUCUGUUAAGAUAAAAACCUCCAAGACUGAAGUCAAUUAGAGUGGGAUACUUAAAUUUGUUAGGUCCCUUCCACAGAAAAUAAAUACAGAAAUGACAUUGUAAAACUGGUGAAAGGUGGUAUGCAGCACACUGACCAAGUUGUGGGCUACAUUUGCUUAACAAUACUUUCAGUACAGAGAAGAGCUGUGGUCUGAAGGAAGAACUGCCCACCACUCCAUAGAUUAGAAAAGAUCUUGUCAAAGAUCUGAUAUCACUGGCGGAGACACUUGCAGAAGCGGUGCCAGGACGUUAUAAAUUCCAUGGCUCCCCUGUAAGCCACAGUGCUGCCAUUCCCUGAGAGCAACAUCCCACGUUCAAUCUAGGGCAAGACAUGGUUUUACUAGCAAGUACCCUCUGUGUAAGUGCCCUUAGAUCAAUGUCUGUUGACGUGAUCAUGGCAAUAAUCCCUUCUCCAGUAUGCUUACACAAAUUACUGUAAAGCAAGACAAGGUAUAGACUUAGUGUAUAUUUAUCUAUACAUUUAUCUAUACAGCAGUACUUUCAGUUAGGAAGAGCACAGACAGACAAGUUAUUGCGAAGCUGGUCAUUGCGCAGUGAAUUCACCUAAGCUAUUCUUGCAGUGAUUUGUUCCAACAGUUGUAUUCUGAGAUACAGUCUUAAAUUUCAUCAGAAUUUAAAGUGAGGCUCAUUUUGUGCUAUUUAUGUUUAGAUAUCUUUACUAGCUUCGUAGCAAACUUUGUGGAUGUCCAACUGCAAUGUAGCAGACUUCACAGAAUGGUCGUUUAUAUUUAGAUUAUCUUCUUGACUUCCAAUCACUUCAAUUAAGUGACCCAUGAUUUUUAUGUUACAGGACAUUGCAAAAGAUGCACCUGCCAGUUUUAUUUCUGUUUUUACAUUGUUGGAAGAUGCUUGGAAGUUUGAUCUAAGUAUAUUCCUGAAAACUGACGCUUCUCUGAAUCUUUCCAAUUUGCUAGAGGUAUAUUGUGGUGUUUGUUUUGCUGGAGGGCAGCCUAGGGCCUUAAAGGUCCUUUUGAGACUUACAACCCCUGAUUCUUGGAACAGAAAUGUUGAUUCAAAGUUGUGAGUACCUAUAUGGGGAUUUCUAGUGAACUCAAUGAAAAUCUUGUACAAAAUAUGUACUGUCACAUGCUGGGCUGACUUCUGGGCAGAUAAAAAAUACCAUGCAUCAACGUUUCUCAUGGAAAAUCUCUAUUUUUGACUCCGUAGUAUAUGAGCAGAAGCUGGACAUGACAUAGAAUGUAAGAGAAAAUCAAAUAUGAACAAGAAGAGGUCUUUCUUUACCCAUUUGUGGAGAGCCAUUUGUAAACAUCUGGAAGGGGAUUCAGCCAGCAGUUGGCAAUGGCAGGAUUCUGUCAAGGUUGAAUCAGUCUAAACAGAGCAAGGACAAGAAAGACAACAGCAGUAUCUCUCAAGCACAGAUUUGGGUCCCUCCUUUGUCCUGCCUUUGUCCUGCCUUCUUGAUGAGUAUCCAAGGAAAAAUUUUAAUUCCCGGGUUCCAUAAAUGCCCUGGUCCACUACCUGAGGCUGAGAUGCAUGCAGUUGGUCAGGGCAGUCACCUGGGAUGUGCUGAGGACAAAUUCAAAUCAGGACUGCUGCUUGUUUCAAUUUGAGUGUAAAGGCUUGACAUCAGAAGGGUCGACUCAUGAAACUGCAAGGAAGAAAAAUGCUCUUGCUGCUACGGUGGCUGAAUCGCAUGGAUUUACCCCACCAAGGCUGCUCCAGCCUGUGCCCCACGUUUGGCCUCCGCGGAUCUGAACCUGCUGCUGAAAAAGAGUGGGAAGUUAUUACAUACAUCUAAUAGCUGCCGGAUAACAUGGUUCGGUGUUGAAUCCAUCUGGAUUGUUUUACCUCUCUUUUCUGUUCACCAGCAAAAGUUUAUCCUGGAUCAAACCAAGCUUAUCACAUACUGAGCCUGAAUAGGCUUUUGUUCUGCCUGCUGCGGUUCCCUGAACCGGCUGGAUUUCCCCAACAGAUGGCACUGCCUUUCUCUCGUAGUUAGCCAAAAGUUUAAAAACAUUUUGUUAAAAAUAGAUGCCCCACAUUCUUAAUUGGCAAUCCUUUUUCUAUUUAUUGUUAGGCACAAAUCAAAUGCUGUUUAGCUCUUGGGCAACCUCAAUGCACAAUACAUAAAAGCAUA